AGAGUUUGAUCCUGGCUCAGGACGAACGCUGGCGGCGUGCUUAACACAUGCAAGUCGAACGGAAAGGCCCUGCUUUUGUGGGGUGCUCGAGUGGCGAACGGGUGAGUAACACGUGAGUAACCUGCCCUUGACUUUGGGAUAACUUCAGGAAACUGGGGCUAAUACCGGAUAGGAGCUCCUGCUGCAUGGUGGGGGUUGGAAAGUUUCGGCGGUUGGGGAUGGACUCGCGGCUUAUCAGCUUGUUGGUGGGGUAGUGGCUUACCAAGGCUUUGACGGGUAGCCGGCCUGAGAGGGUGACCGGCCACAUUGGGACUGAGAUACGGCCCAGACUCCUACGGGAGGCAGCAGUGGGGAAUAUUGCACAAUGGGCGGAAGCCUGAUGCAGCAACGCCGCGUGCGGGAUGACGGCCUUCGGGUUGUAAACCGCUUUCGCCUGUGACGAAGCGUGAGUGACGGUAAUGGGUAAAGAAGCACCGGCUAACUACGUGCCAGCAGCCGCGGUGAUACGUAGGGUGCGAGCGUUGUCCGGAUUUAUUGGGCGUAAAGGGCUCGUAGGUGGUUGAUCGCGUCGGAAGUGUAAUCUUGGGGCUUAACCCUGAGCGUGCUUUCGAUACGGGUUGACUUGAGGAAGGUAGGGGAGAAUGGAAUUCCUGGUGGAGCGGUGGAAUGCGCAGAUAUCAGGAGGAACACCAGUGGCGAAGGCGGUUCUCUGGGCCUUUCCUGACGCUGAGGAGCGAAAGCGUGGGGAGCGAACAGGCUUAGAUACCCUGGUAGUCCACGCUGUAAACGGUGGGUACUAGGUGUGGGGUCCAUUCCACGGGUUCCGUGCCGUAGCUAACGCUUUAAGUACCCCGCCUGGGGAGUACGGCCGCAAGGCUAAAACUCAAAGGAAUUGACGGGGCCCCGCACAAGCGGCGGAGCAUGCGGAUUAAUUCGAUGCAACGCGAAGAACCUUACCUGGGUUUGACAUGGAUCGGGAGCUUCCAGAGAUGGUUGUGCCUCUUUUGGGGUCGGUUCACAGGUGGUGCAUGGCUGUCGUCAGCUCGUGUCGUGAGAUGUUGGGUUAAGUCCCGCAACGAGCGCAACCC
rnacentral:rRNA from 1 species